rnacentral:lncRNA from 1 species
CUGCUGCCCGGCCAGCGGGCCAAAUGGCCACACGGGAAGGAGGGACAGAGGAGAAAAUAGUAGGCAAAGUGUUGGCGUGAGGCAGGUGGUGGAUGAGGCAGUCGCAAAGAGAAAGGAUUGCAACAUCAGGGAGGAGAUGAAAGGCCUCAUAUCAUUUUGCAGCCAACAAGAAACCUGAAGGAACUAAGUUUGGCUCUAUUUCUACAGCUUGUGAAAAGCUGAGAAUGGAAGCAAUGACUGGGCUAAUUCUGGACAAAAUUUUUUAAAAUGAUUUUUGUCAGAGGAGCCCAGAUCUUUGCCUCAAUUCUUUGCUUUUGUCUAAAUUGCUCAUUUUUCCAAAUUUCUGUAAGUAAUUUUUUAGGUGAUGUGAAUUGAUUUGCCUUUGGUAUACCGGACAAGAUUUUAUUUUAUUUUAUUAUUUUAUUUUUGAGACGGAGUUUCGCUCUUGUUGCCCAGACUGGAGUGCAGUGGUGUGAUCUCAACUCACUACAACCUCUGCCUCCCGGGUUCAAGCGAUUCUCCUGCCUCAGCCUCCUGAGUAGCCGGGAUUACAGGUGCCCGCCACCACACCGAGCUAAUUUUUGUAUUUUUAGUAGAGAUGGGGUUUCACCACGUUGGCCAGGCUGGUCUCAAACUCCUGACCUCAGGUGAUCCAUCUGCCUCAGCCUCCCAAAGUGCUGGGAUUACAGGUGUUAGCCACCGUGCCCAGCCUGGACAAGAUUAUUUGAGACAUCUCUGGUGGCCUAAAUCGUGAAGGGUUUGCCCCCUGUUUCCUUUUGUCCACUUUCCUCAUAGUGCCAUUUUGUUUUGUGCCUUCACUCAGCCUGAACUGGCUGGUGAAAGUGGCACAGCCAACUGUUGCCAGACAGUGAUGUCCUGUCAAAUUCCUGUACCUGCAUGGGUACGUUCUCAUGUUCUCUGAAAUAUUAUUCCUUUCCCUUAACAGAGCUCACCAGACAAGAAACAGAAAAGUGUUUUGAGUACUUUGAAUCAAAAGUGGUCUCUGAAUUUAAGGCAUUUUUAUUAUUUUAUGUGUUAUUUGUAGUUCAAAAGGGUCUUCCUAUUCAUCAUAGUAUUAGAGGCAUUUGAUGGAAAAGUAGUGUGCCAAGGUGAUUAGUGACAACAACAACAAAAGCAACUUAUUUUUGAGCCUGUGAAAGGCCCUCUUCUAGACACUUUAUACAACAGCUGUAUCCUUAUUGAUAGCCCUGCAAGAAAAGCUAUUUUCCAAGAAGAAAAAGAAAAUGGAAGUACAAAUUUCCAACAGCACACAUUUUCUCUGCUCUCUCCUUGGCUCUGAAAGAGGAUGCGUGAAACAGAAUUUCAGGCUGUAAUUAAUGCAGCUCUUCAUAAGAUAAGAGGUUCUUUUAUCUACAGAAAAAUUGCUGCACUAAUUCCCAACAAGAAGUGCAAUGCUCCGGUUAAUGCUCUUUCUACAAGAAGAAUUCACCUUUUCUACCCUCUACAUAUUUACAGACAAAUUUGAAUAUUUUGUUAUGGGAAACUGAAGAUGGGUAAACAUACAAUGAUAAUAGUACUUUAUAGGGCUAAAUCUAAAAGCCUUAAAGAUUAAUAUUAUGUUUGGAUAAAUGCUGAAUAAGUUUACAUAAAGAAUUUUCAAAUAACAUUGACGCUACAGGCAUGUACUUGUAAGCACAGACCUUAAUUGGGCACAACUUAGAUCCAGCACUCUUUGAGGGGGAGAAUAAACAAAUUGGGAAAUGCAUCCUCAUUUGAUACAGUGAGGAAAAAGAGCUAUGGUUCCUUGCUCUGCUUUAAAGUACUGUCCAAAGAAGGAUGAAGCCCCGCUAUUUCAUUUUGAUUUAAAUAUUUCCUUGUAGAAUGCACAUUCCAAUUUGGAAACAAUACUUUCUAUAUGUAUGUUUCAUGUAUGUGCUUGGAAUAAUUGGUAAUGUGUUGGCACUGUGUUCCACUUAAAUGCAUGGCAUUUGUAUACUAUUUAAUGUUUUGUUGUUGUUGUUGUUUUUGAGAUGGAGUCUCAGUCUGUUGCCCAGGCUGGAGUGCAAUGGUGUGAUCUAGGCUCACUGCAACCUCUGCCUCCCGGGUUCAAGCAAUUCUCCUGCCUCAGCCUCCUGAGUAACUGGGAUUACAGGCGCCUGCCACCACGCCUGGCUAAUUUUUUUUUUUUUUUUUUUUUUUUUUUUUUUUUUUUUUUUUAGUAGAGAUGGGGUUUCUCCAUGUUGGCCAGACUGGUCUUGAACUCCUGAACUCAGGUGAUCCACACACCUUGGCCUCCCAAAGUGCUGGGAUUACAGGCGUGAGCCACUGCACCGGCCUUUUAAUGUUUUCUUAAAAACCAGUUUUCUAAGAAAAAAAGAAGAAUGGGAAUACAGCAAAUGAGUAGAAGACAGAGAUCACAAGAAUCGUGCCUGAGGUCCUGGCAAAGAAGACCCCACUAUCUCAGCUCAAGAAGUCAGAACCCAUAGGUGAAAUUGUAGGGAUAACACCAGCUCAGUGUAAAGAAUUUCCAACAUAAACAGCUACUGCAUAACAGAAUGAACUGCCAUGGAAGAAUACAACAUCCAGUCAAGGCAUGUAGUCAAGGAAGAGCAGAUAACCAUCUGCAAGAGGAUUUCAACACUGGACCAGACAGUCCUAUAGUAAGUUGAAGUCUAAGACCCUAUAAUUAUGUGAUAUUGGAGAUUUAAUGUUUACAAUAUUAUUGUCAUUCCAUCUGGUUCCUGGUACUAAGUCUUUGUUUUUUGUUUUGUUUGUUUGUUUUUCUUUUGGAAACAGGGUCUCGCUCUGUCACCCAGGCUGAAGUGCAGUGGCAUGAUCUUGGCUCACUGCAGCCUCAACCUCCCAGGCUCAAGCAAUCCUCCCACAUCAGCCCCCCAAGUAGCUGGGACUACAUCCAUAUGCCACCAUGCCUGUUUAAUUUUUGUAUUUUUUGUAGAGAUGUGGUUUCACCAUGUUGCCCAGGCUGGUCGCGAACUUCUGAGCUCAGGCAAUCCACUCACCUUGGCCUCCCAAAGUGCUGGGAUUAUAGGCAUGAGCCACUGUGCCUGGCCUGUGGUACUAAGUCUUCCCUGACAUUUUGUCAGUAAAGGUCAAAGUCACUGGAAAUGGUCACUGCACCUAACCUAAGUGUCAGUUUCCUGAUCUAUAGAGUAGAGGAUUUGAUGAAUUUAUCUCUAGAAUUCUGUCUACUUCUAGUCAGAUUCUUCACUGACAUGAAGUCACCACUGUGUAUCUACCUUACUAACCUUUUUUGGUUAACAUGUGGGAAAUUUAAUAAAUUCCUGACAUUUUUCAACAACAUUUAUAACCUUUGGGGAUCAGUUCAUUUUCACCAAUUCAAUUUUAGUCAUCUUGAUUGCUUUUGUCAGAGGGGAAAAAUAAUGUCACAUAAUUAAAAUAAUAAAUAACCUCCC